rnacentral:rRNA from 1 species
ACGCAGCGAAAAGCGAUAAGUAAUGUGAAUUGCAGAAAUUCAGUGAAUCAUCGAAUCUUUGAACGCACAUUGCGCCCAUUAGUAUUCUAGUGGGCAUGCCUGUUCGAGCGUCAUUU